rnacentral:rRNA from 1 species
GACGUAGGAGGCGAGCGUUGUCCGGAGUUACUGGGCGUAAAGCGCGCGCAGGCGGCCCUGUACGCUGACCGGGUGAAAGCUCCCGGCUUACCUGGGAGAGGUUCGGCAGUACGGCAGGGCUGGAGGGUGGGAGAGGUCGGUGGAAUUCCCGGUGGUAGGUGGUGAAAUGCGUAGAGAAUCGGGAGGAACACCCGUAGCGAAGGCGGCCGGACUGGACCACACCUGAGCGCUGAG